ACAUGUAACUAUCUAUCUCAUCUUUAUCAAUAUUGCAGAUUAAUCAAAGAGACAAAGGUUAUGAUUUCUUUUGUUGAUUAUAAUUUUUUUUGUUUAAUGUCUUUUUUGUUUAAAAAUAGGUUUAAUUAAGGUUUUUGUUUUUGCAGAUGAAUAUGGAUUUUGAUGUCAUGAUCAAUUUCUUGGUAAGGUAGGUAUGGAAUUUGUUUACUUUUUUUCUUUUCUUUUUUUGAGGGUAGGGACUUAAUUAAAGUGACACCACAAACCAAUCUUUAUUGUUUAGUUUGAUUCUAUUUAAAGGUUCAUCUCUUUUUUGCUAUGGUUGUAUUCUAGUUAUAGUUGGUAACAAUAUCUGAAUCUUGCUUUUGUGAACAGAGAACUUUCAAUGUACCAAAAAAAGAACAUAGAACUUUCAAGAUAUGUACAUGCUUUCUUAUUUUUGGGAAAUAUUUGGAUAACAAUGCUAAUUUAUUAAAAGAGAAAUGAUGUUUCAACAUAAAAAAAUAAUGUCAAAUACCAUGUCUAGUGGUUUUUUAGAUGUAUUUUAAAAUAUAAGAAAAAUAUAAAAAAAUAAAAAGUAUGAAAAAAAAGUAGA
rnacentral:lncRNA from 1 species